UAGGGAAUCUUCCGCAAUGGACGCAAGUCUGACGGAGCAACGCCGCGUGAGUGAAGAAGGAUUUCGGUUCGUAAAACUCUGUUGUUAGAGAAGAACAGCGCAUAGAGUAACUGUUAUGCGUGUGACGGUAUCUAACCAGAAAGCCACGGCUAACUACGUGCCAGCAGCCGCGGUAAUACGUAGUUGGCAAGCGUUGUCCGGAUUUAUUGGGCGUAAAGCGAGCGCAGGCGGUCAAUUAAGUCUGAUGUGAAAGCACACGGCUCAACCGGGGAGGGUCAUUGGGAACUGGUUGAGUUGAGUGCAGAAGAGGAGAGUGGAAUUCCAUGUGUAGGGGUGAAAUGCGUAGUUAUAUGGAGGAACACCAGUGGCGAAGGCGACUCUCUAGUCUGUAACUGAAGCAGAGGCUCGAAAGCGUGGGUAGCAAACAGG
rnacentral:rRNA from 1 species